GAUGAACGCUGGCGGCGUGCCUAAUACAUGCAAGUCGAGCGAACAGACGAGGAGCUUGCUCCUCUGACGUUAGCGGCGGACGGGUGAGUAACACGUGGAUAACCUACCUAUAAGACUGGGAUAACUUCGGGAAACCGGAGCUAAUACCGGAUAAUAUCUUGAACCGCAUGGUUCAAUAGUGAAAGACGGUUUUGCUGUACCUUAUAGAUGGAUCCGCGCCGAAUUGGCUAGUUGGUAAGGUAACGGCUUACCAAGGCAACGAUGCGUAGCCGACCUGAGAGGGUGAUCGGCCACAUUGGAACGGGGACACGGUCCAGACUCCUACGGGAGGCAGCAGAAGGGAAUCUUCCGCAAUGGGCGAAAGCCUGACGGAGCAACGCCGCGUGAGUGAUGAAGGUCUUCGGAUCGUAAAACUCUGUUAUUAGGGAAGAACAAAUGUGUAAGUAACUAUGCACGUCUUGACGGUACCUAAUCAGAAAGCCACGGCUAACUACGUG
rnacentral:rRNA from 1 species